GACGAACGCUGGCGGCGUGCUUAACACAUGCAAGUCGAACGAAGCUUGAUUACGGAUUCUUCGGAUGAAGUAUGAUAUGACUGAGUGGCGGACGGGUGAUUAACGCGUGAGUAACCUGCCCUUCAUAGGGGGAUAGCGUUUGGAAACGAACGGUAAUACCGCAUAAUGUAUUUUGACCGCAUGAUCGAAAUAUCAAAGAUUUAUCGCUGAAGGAUGGACUCGCGUCUGAUUAGGUAGUUGGUGGGGUAACGGCCUACCAAGCCGACGAUCAGUAACCGGACUGAGAGGUUGAUCGGCAACAUUGGGACUGAGACACGGCCCAGACUCCUACGGGAAGCAGCAGUGGGGAAUAUUGCACAAUGGGCGCAAGCCAGAUGCAGCAACGCAGCGUGAAGGAAGACGGUUUUCGGAGUGUAAACUUCUGUUCUUAGUGAAGAAUAAUGACGGUAGCUAAGGAGCAAGCCACGGCUAACUACGUG
rnacentral:rRNA from 1 species